AGGUGUUUAGUUCAGCUGGUAGAACGGCGGCCUCCAAAGCCGUUGGUCGGGAGUUCGAAUCUCUCAGCACCUG
rnacentral:tRNA from 1 species